rnacentral:lncRNA from 1 species
AUAAGUCUUCGUGGGAAUGAUACUCUACUCACUACUCUAUUACUUGACGAUCACGUGCAUUUGCGUCAGUGUUUUGAUCGCAACAAGUUUUUGGCGCCACGAAUAGCAUAAUGUUUUAGGGUUAGAAAUUUGAUGAUUAGAUGGUGAAAUAGUGAUAAAAUGAUGUUAAGAUUACUUAUCCAAAGAGUUAUGGAGGAAGGGAAGCUUGAAACUCUUCAAUGGAGGGUGGAGAAGGAGGGUUUGUGAGU